rnacentral:lncRNA from 1 species
GUCGAGAUCAGCAAGCAUAUUUUCAAUAGAUCAUGUGCUCUGUGUUUCUAUACACAAAGAGAUGUAGGAUAUGUAAUGUAUGGAGUCUAACAGUCCAGCAGGCAGCUCUGCUCUAGCCACAGUCUGAUAAUGACUUUUCCCCUGACGGAGAGAGAUAUGGAGAGAGAGAGAGAGAGAGAGAGAGAGAGAGAGAUAUGGAGAGAGAGAGAGAGAGAGAGAGAUAUGGAGAGAGAGAGAGAGAGAUAUGGAGAGAGAGAGAGAGAGAGAUGGAGAUAUGGAGAGAGAGAUAUGGAGAGAGAGAUAUGGAGAGAGAGAUAUGGAGAGAGAGAUAUGGAGAGAGAGAUAUGGAGAGGGGGAGAGAGAGAGAAAGAAAAAGAGUGAAGGAGAGAGAUCGUGAUAGGGAGAGAGAGAGUGAGAGCAUGAGAGAAAGAGAGUGGGAGAGAGAGCAAUAGAGAGGGAGGGAGAGAGCAUGAGAGUAAGAGAGUGGGAGAGAGAGCAAUAGAGAGGGAGGGAGAGAGAGAGAGAGCGAGAGAAAGAGAGUGGGCGAGAGAAUGAGGGAGAGAGAUAGGGAAGGAGAGUGAUAGGGAGAGAGAGGUACAUGAAACAGAAUAUCUGCCAAUGGAGUGAUAGAUGACUUCUAUAUGAACCCUGGUCUGGGCUGCUCUGCUGUGAUCUUGUAUUUAACAAGCCAUCUGACUUCCUGGAGUACGGUACCUAGUGUGACUGGUGGUGCUGCUAACUAUGCUGUCUUUCAACUGCUUACUGAAAGAUUUACAUUACAGAGUAGGAACAUUUCUGAAACUUUCCUUCACGUCUUCCUUCUAUUCGUGUAUGUCUGUGUAUCUGACUAUCUCACCCUCCUCUACCUCAAAGCUACUGAGGAAUAAAGACCAAAGCAGUACUAUUACAGCAGGGGUGUCCAACUCAUUCCAUGGAGGGCCUAAUGUCUGCUGGUUUGGGGUUUCCUUUCAAUUAUGACCCAGACAACCAGGUGAGAGUUCCUCACUGAGACCUAGACAACCAGGUGAGAGUUCCUCACUAAGACCUAGACAACCAGGUGAGAGUUCCUCACUAAGACCUAGACAACCAGGUGAGAGUUCCUCACUGAGACCUAGACAACCAGGUGAGCGUUCCGAACUAAUCAGUGACCUUCUUUUGUCAAUCAAGUAGGAGUGAAAACCCACAGACACUCUGCCCUCCGUGGAAUGAGUUUGAGACAUGUGCAUCACAAGAUGGGGAGGUGGUUAAACCACAGAGAUAAAACAAUCUGUAUGGCUGAACCACAGAGAUAAAACAAUCUGUAUGGCUAAACCACAGAGAUAAAACAAUCUGUAUGGCUAAACCACAGAGAUAAAACAAUCUGUAUGGCUAAACCACAGAGAU